CCCUUAGAUGUUCUGGGCCGCACGCGUGCUACACUGAGUGGAUCAGCGGGUCAGGUUGCGCGAAAGCGUUUCCUAAUCUUUAAAUCCGCUCGUGAUGGGGAUUGACGGUUGCAAUUUUCUGUCAUGAACGAGGAAUACCUUGUAAGCGCGGGUCAUCAUCCCGCGCUGAAUACGUCCCUGCCCUUUGUACACACCGCCCGUCGCUACUACCGAUUGAAUGGCUUAGUGAGGCCUCAGGAUCCGCGCUUAAUGUGUGGAGAAUUUGGACAAACUACGUCAUUUAGAGGAAGUAAAAGUCGUAACA
rnacentral:rRNA from 1 species